rnacentral:rRNA from 1 species
UACGUAGGGUGCAAGCGUUAUCCGGAAUUAUUGGGCGUAAAGGGUGCGUAGGCGGUUUGGUAAGUUAGGUGGUAAAUCUUCAGGCUCAACCUGAUACUGCGCUUAAAACUGCCAGACUAGAGAAUAUCAGAGGCAAGCGGAACUUACGGUGUAGCGGUGAAAUGCGUAGAUAUCGUAAGGAACACCAGUGGCGAAGGCGGCUUGCUGGGGUAUUUCUGACGCUGAGGCACGAAAGCAUGGGUAGCAAACAGG